rnacentral:tRNA from 1 species
ACCUGGGUGGCUCAGUUGGUUGAGCAUCUGACUUCGGCUCAGAUCAUGAUCUCACGGUUUGUGGGUUCAAGCCCCACGUCAGGCU